rnacentral:lncRNA from 1 species
ACCAUUCAAACACCCACUUAAAUCCAACCACUCCAAAGCAUAUUGGGAGCAUUCUGAAACGUUUUGCGGUGGGUCAAUCCUUUCUAUUUCAAAAGGAUUCCUCAAUGCAAACAACUGUUUCAGGUGACACUGUCUCCAGAUUCCAACAUCCUCAAUAUUCUUAAACUGGUUAACAGAGAGAUCAAGCUCUAGAAGGUUAGCCAUAAUAGGAACCGAAGAAUGCAGCAUGUUUCCUGAGAGAUCAAGGACUCUUAAGGAACUCAUGUUACUGAAAACAGAUGGAAAUAUGCCUUCAAUUGAAUUUCGGCUAAGAUCCAGGUGUUGGAUGUUAGAAAGCAUACUGAUAUUAAAAUGAGCGGAAGAUAGAAAAGUCUUAUUAUCUAGCCAACAACUUGAAAAAUGCAGCUCUGAUAAAGAGGAAGGGAUCAUGUUUAGCAAGUUUGCAAAGUUCCAUGCCAAACUAAGACUAAAACCAGAAAGAUCCAGAAAUUCAAGGGAUGUCAUGUUUCGGAAGAAUCCAGGGAGUGGACCUUUGAAAGAAUUGGAGCCAAGAUCAAGGUGUUUUAUGUUGGCAAGAAUUCUACUUGAAUUAAGAAAAGGACCAAGAUGGACAUUGGAAAGUCCACAACCACGCAAACUUAACUCUUUUAACGAAGGAAGAUUGUAAAGCACCAUGCCCAUGUUCUUUGCUCCGCCAAGAUCCACAUCACUCAAGUCGAGAUGCUCGAGUGAUGUAACGCCAAAAGUCCAUGACAUAUCAUCUGACAUCAGCUCAUCAUUCCAACUGAGAUCCAAAACCUUUAAAUUAGAAAGAUUUCCAAUGUGGGGAGGAAUAAUACCUUGAAAACCAGCAGCAGAGAGAUUGAGGUACAUCAGCUGUUUGAAGGAUCCAAUGAACUCAGGGAACCGGCUUCCUCCAAAAUCAUUCUGACUCAAGUCCAGGUACUUGAGAUGCCUCAACUCAGCCAAUGAAGAGUUCACCUCAUAACUAACUAAGUAGCUUUCUCCUUCACCAAAAUAGUAAUCUCCUCUGAGAUUGAGGCUGUCAACGGUUCCAGUGAGACUGUCACAGUGGAUUCUUUCCCACUGGCAACAAUCCUUACCCACCCAUGAAGACAACAUUCCGUAACGAUCUUCGAUGACACUCCCUUUGAACCUGAGAAGAGCAAGUCGUUCNNNNNNNNNNNNNNNNNNNNNNNNNNNNNNNNNNNNNNNNNNNNNNNNNNNNNNNNNNNNNNNNNNNNNNNNNNNNNNNNNNNNNNNNNNNNNNNNNNNNAAGAAUCCUUGGAAAACUUGGAAGCCAAUGGAAAUUGUGCCCAGAAUUACACUCCUCUAGUGACUAGUCCCUAUGCACACGGAAAUGUCCUAGGGAUACAAAAAUUGUUCUAACACAACUUUAUUUGAAUAAGAAAUAUCCAUUGGUAGUUUGCAGCACAUUUAAGUGUGAUUUAAACAAGUCAUUAGUAUAUUUUGCUAAUCAUACAAGACUUGAUAUCUCGUUCUCUGUAGAUUUAGUUUGUUGGUCCGGAAGUAUCACAUCAAUGUACAUGUAUAUGUAUUUUAGUGUAUCUAUAUGUAUAUCAAUGUAUGUGUGUGAGUAUUUGUUGGUGUAUCAAUGUACAUGUAAUAUACUAAUAUGUCUACCAAUGGAUCCUACAAACAUGUUUAACUUUAACAUCACCCGUAAUAUUGUUCUUAUGAGACAUGACAAACACACAUUUCAUAAAGGAACAACAUAACAUGUCAAGUGUACUAACCUUUAGAAGAUGUUGCAAUCAGCAUAAUUAAUGCUUGAAACUUGAUACAACCACUGAGACAUCCAAUAUGAUCAACAAGUCACCUGAAACACCACAAAAGCAAUCAACAAAAAUGCUUAAUACCACCAAACUCAACAACAACAAUCACCAGCAACCACAUAUAUGAUAAACAGUAAUUAUGAUAAACAAACAAGCUUACUCAUUAUUAUCAGAUAGUCAAUUCAUUCUGCUACAUAUAUGAUCUCUACUUUUGGUAUAUGUUCAAAACAAAACCAAAGAAGAAAUGCACAAAAAUUAUCACUACAAAAGAAAACUUGAAGAAACAAGGUUAGGGACACUAGAAAACAUAUGAUGUAAAUAAUGAUCGAGAGCAUGUACAUUGCACCCUUGAAUAUAGCAAUCAAGAAUCAUCACUGCACAAGUUAACUGCAAGAAGCAAUAUGGUACAAAUAUCUGACUUAGAAAGAAUAGUGCCUACUGAAAAAGGUAUACAGAACUCAAACUUUAUCUCAUACAUUUUCAUAAGAAUAUAGCUUAUCAGUGUUAAUUAUGAAGUAUACUUAGUUUAACUUGUUAAUACUAUAAUUUAACAGUUCUUAUUAUGGUUAAUAUUGAAAGAGAAAAAAUGAAAACAAAUAUAUUCCACUUUUAUUGUUAUUCCAUGGAAAACAAAACUAGUAUCAAGAAUUCAGGAAUGAAUAUCAGUCUAACAAACAGUGGCAUGAAGUAACUAUAUUCAGGUUAACUUAAUUUAAUUAAUAUUAUCAAUUCUUAUAUAUGAUAAGUUCAAAUGUUAAUUAACAUAUUCCAUAACUGAUAUUUUGUAAUUUUUACAUAUGUACUAUCAUAGAAACAUCACAGAUUUAAUCUAAUGAAAGAGAAAGAGUGUAAAACAAAAAACGAUGUCUUUAUCAAUGCCAUAAAUCAUGAAGAUUUUAUUUUCAUUUCCUAAAAUAUAACUUCUCAAAGAACUUCUGCUUAACCCUCAACUUUCAUUUUACCCUCAGUCGGUCCUCUAAGUUGCACUUCUUCAUGAAAUUAAAUACAGUAUGAUUUUGAGGGACAAUUCCAACCCAUUUAUAGGUAAAUGGACGGUCAUUAAAUGUUUAUUAAAAUUUAAAAGAUUAAUAUUUUACCUUUUUAAAUUAUUUUAUAACAGCUUUCCUGAAAUUUUUACUUUUUACUAGCUAAAAUAGGAUAUCCAUAUAUAAAGAUUUCUCUUUAUAAAACCCAUUAUUCAACCGAUGAAAAAAAAACAAAAUACAAACAUUGAUUUUUCCUUCUAUUAAGUCGAUGAAAUAACAAUUCAAUGGAAAAAACAAUAUCACAAAUAUGCUUUAAGAUAAAUUUUCAUGAUUAUCAAUAAUAUCAAUAUAAAAGAAGCUUUGAAAUGGUGAAUCUAUAUUUGUUCAACUAAUUGUUAGAUACGUAUAAAAAAAAUUGAACUGGGCAUGUAACCUUUACACAUUAUUUGGUACUCUCUCUUUAUUAGAACUAAUGCUGAUUUUUAUUAAAUGACAAUGUUGUUAUUUACCAAAUUUCAUUUCAUUUAAACGUCUAUAAAUACAAACUAAAAAACAUGUUGGAAUAGUUCAUUUCGAUCCUAUAGACCAAAGAAACAUGAUAGUGAAAUGAUAAUUAUCUAUCUUAUUGCCAUGUUCUUUAGAUUUCUACGUUCAUUCAAUUAUUUGUGAUUCCACCCAAGCCUAAUGCCCCAUAGAUCGUUCGAACUGUAUAUGAACAACAAUCAAGUUUAGCUCAAAUGGUAAAAAGCACCUACCUGAGUUCCCUUUGUUGAAAAAUAGGAGAUAAAAAAUACCAACGAAAAACUAUAAGUUUUCAUUCAAUGACUUUAAAGUCAACAAAAAACUAUAAACUUGAUUUUGACAUAUAAAAGUUUUACAAAACUAACUUGAAGUUUUUGAUUAUUCAACUUUAACAGAUUAUGAGGAGNGAUUAUGAGGGACAGAAUCUCAUGUGGUAGAAGCAACUACUUUUUAUUAGGUUAUCAGUCUCACAAUAUAAGAAAUAUUGACUUGCAUAUGAUGGAUCUUGCUACUGCCUAUUUGUAGUUUUGUACUCCUCCCAUGAUACCAAUCUUUUAUAUAAACCUUUACCUCCCUCAAAAGAUUUAAACCACCAUAAACAAGUAAGAUGGGAUCUCAAGAACACUAUUUGAUCAAAUUAAACAAGUCAUUACAUAUUUUGUUGCUAAUCAUACAAGACUUGACUUUGGUUAAGACCCCUUUCAACCUUUUAAAGAUUCCAAGGAAAUUGGUGGUCCAAAGCACAUUUAAGUGUCAUUUAAACAAGUCAUUAAUAUAUCUUGCUAAUAAUACAAGAUUUGAUAUAUCGUUCUCUGUAGAUUUUAGUGUAUCUAAUGUAUGAGACAUGACAAUUGACAAACACACAUUUCAUAAAGGAACAACAUAACAUGUCAAGUGUACUAACCUUUAGAAGAUGCUGCAAUCAGCAUAAAUGAUUGAUACUUGAUAACAACCACUAAGACAUCCAAUAUGUCACCUGAAACACCACAAAAGCAAUCAACAAAAAUGCUUAAUACCACCAAACUCAACAACAACAAUUACCAGCAACCGCAUAUAUGAUACCAUUGCAUUCUAUUUGGGAGAGAAUAAAUAGUUCGCUUUCUUGGUAAUUAUGAUAAACAAACAAGUUUACUCAUUAUAAUUAUCAGAUAAUAAAUUCAUUCUACUUACUGUAUAUAAGCUAUGUUCAAAACAAAACGAAUGAAGAAAUGCACAAAAUUCAUCACUAUGCAAAAUUUAACUGGAGGCACAAGUUUAGAGACACUAGAAAGCAUGUCAUCAUGUACAUAAUGAUCGAGAACAUGUGCAACCAUGAACAUAGCAAUCAAGAAUCAUCACUACACAAGUUAACUGGAAGAAGCAUAAUGGUACAAAUAUCUAACAUAGAAAGGAAAGUACCUACAGAAAAAGGUAUACAGAACUCAAACUUUAUCUCAUACAUUUUCAUAAGAAUAUAGCUUGUUAAUGCACAAACUCACCAACUUUCCUAGAAACUAUUAUGUCUUUUCUUGUUUACAUAAAUCCUCCCAGAUACCAUUGAUAUACAAUGCUUAACAUAGAAAUUAAUAAGAUGAAUCAUUGAGAUCAAAUAUAUUCAUGUUAACCUUUGGAAGAAUGAAUACCAGUUACGGAUGUGAUAUUGCUAACCCAAACAAAGAUAUACACACUGAUGAGCAGAUAAUUACAUGUUAUGUGCUGAUAAAUAGUAUGUAUAUCAUUAUUAAGUAACCUUAACUUAACCAAAACAUUAAUAAAUACAAAUUACAAUCUCAAUAUGUAUCAUCUAUUACUAUUUCUUGAAUUUUUACCCCAUUCUAAUGGGAUUCCAGGGAUCUGUUUAUAUUGCUGUUUUGUAGUGUCAGUGUAUUUGUUUAAAUUUUUAUUUUCUUCUAUUUUUUUUUUUAAAGUUACUGUAAUGAUUAUGAAAGUUCAAGUUUCCACAUAUCUUUGCUUUAUAAAUGUGUUCUUCAACUACCACAUCUCUUCAAAGUUAUAACCAAAUUUGACAGUUACAAAUGUUCUUUAUCUGAAAAAUAUUACAUCUGACUAGGAAUAAAAAAUUUCUAUGUGGAAGAAGGUAUGCAAGACCUUAACUUCUGUAAGUAUUAAUCUAUUAACUUAAAUAUUUACACUUUAGUAUUUGGGAAUUUAUUUUAUUGCUUAUUUAUUUUUUAAGAAUAUACGUACUUGAAGUAAAAAGUAACUGUGGCCAAAAAGGUUUUCUUCUAUGUUAACAGCACCGGUUAUUUGCAUGUUUAUUGUAGCAUUUGAGUAUCUAUUCGUUUAUCCCUAAAAACCAAAUAAAUUCAUCCCAAUUUUAAACUUGAUUGUUCAUUAUUCAAACUCAGAGCAGCACAACCAAUGCAGAAGAACCAAUUCUAUAAUUAAUGUUUUUUUUUUCAGUGUGCAAGAGCAAAAAUCUCAUGUACUUGUAUUGCUGCAGCAACUAAUACUCAAGAAUUAAUGUGUUUUGAUCAAAAUAAGUGAUUGGUUUGAAAUAAUACGAGUGUAAGCACCAAAGGGUCUACUGACAAGCAGGGGAGAUAAUUUAGUUUAAAGCAUUUGCUACAUUUGCUACAGAUUAUCGUUUGACAUCAGGUAUGUUAAUACAUCUGGAUCAUUUGAAACAUAUAAAUAUAUAAAUGCAUCAUUUUCAAUGACGCUAAAUUACAAUCUUCUUUGUCUUUGUGCUACCGGUCUCAAUAUGUGAGAAUUAGGUCAAAUAGAAAAAAGAUUGGAAAAACUUACCAGGUAAAUGUCGAUAACGACUGAGGAAUGAAGGAGAGAGAGAUGAAUUAGAAAUCGAUGGCUUAGCAUUGUCCUUUUCCUCAACUCCUCGCUGGUGGUGGCGGAGGAUAGCGCCUGAGAACGCAAUCGAGGUGCGAGGAAUAUACAAAAUUUGGGGAAAUUGUGUGUGGACAUGUGGGUACUGGAGUGAAAAAUAGAACGCUUCAAAUACUUUUUUUUUUGUUUUUUUUUUUUUUUUUAACUUUCAUAAAUACUAUUUUUAUUUCUAGAUUUUCAUAAAUUUAUCUAGAACCUUUUUUGGUACAAUAACUUUUAAAAUUAUAUUACUAAAUAAAUUUAAUUAAAAUAUCAAAUAAAUAAUUUGUUUAUAAAUAAUUAAAGUUAAUUGUGAAAUUAUCUAAAAAAACAUUACAUUAAAUAACAAAAUUAUUAAUGUAAAUAUUUACUAGACAAAGUUCUUAAUUAUUCUUAAGUAUGUUGAUGUGCAAUACAUUGUAUUUGACGCGUCACAGUUAGCUGAUAAGUUAACUGAUAAACUAGUUUAUUUUUCGAGUUUUUUUAAACUGUCAUGUUUGGAUUACCAAAUAUACCACUUACUUAAUUACAAAAAUGUCUUUUUUUUUAAAUUGUUUUAUUAAGUCGUUUUAUAUUUUUCAGUUAACUUUUCAGCUAAUUUUACCAUAUAAUAUUUUUUUUAUCAUCACCAUUUAGUAAAAACUAAAAUAUUUACUAAAACUUUAUUAUGACAAUCAUGACAUGCCUUCAACUUCAGUGAGUUAAGGUAUUUAUGCAAAAAUACUAAUCUACUACAUAAUAGAUAAUCUUUUUACUACAACAUCUUAUGCAAAGAUGUCACGCCUUGAUAAUUGAAUUGCCAAACAAUUUUCGAGAUAAUCAAAUCAUUUUGUCAUCAUUAGUUCGUAACUACUAAUUGCAUGCCACUCAAGCAUUUUAUACAACACAAAAGUAGUUUGUCUAUACAAGUUUAAACAGAGGCACAUGUUGUGAACAACCUCUAAAACUACAUGUUUACAUGUUUAACCGCCACUAUCAUGCACAUAUUGUAACAACCAUAAAAUUCGAGCCAAAUUAAAACAUUUUAAUUCAUUCAAAACCAUUAAGUUCAUACAUUUGUUUUCAAAAUAGUUUAAUCAGAGUAUUUCCAAAACCCAUAUCACAUAAGUCAUAAAACAUGAGGAGCAGUACGAUCACGCAUUCGUCUUGCCACGGUCUCCUGAAGUACCUGAAAUAAUACACUGAAACUGUAAGCCCGAAAGCUUAGUGAGUUACCCCUAAAAUACCAACCACAAUACCAUACACAUAGCAUAUCAUAUCAUAAACACAACAGUCAUUCAUAUCGAGUCUACAAUGUGACUGGUCCGCCUACACCAGGCCUUCAGUCCACCUAGUCCACUCUCUAAGUCUACAGUAUGACUGGUCUGCCCGCACCGGGCCUUCAGACUGUCUGGUCCACUCUCCGAACCUCGGCACGUCUGGUCCGUCCUCUUAGGGCCUUCCGCCUAUCCGGACCGCUCGUCGGCCCUUCGGUCUAACCGGUCCGCCCUGGGUAUGUUGGCCUACAGCACAUAGCAUGACCCGCCUCAACCCAACCUCAGUCCAAACAACCAUGUGCACAUAAACAUAUAAUCAUAUAAUAAUUCACAUCUAAUCAAACUGAUCUAGUAGAUCACAUAUCAUAGCAACAUACUAACCAGGAUACUGACCUAACCAGUCACUAACAUAGUAUCAUCCUAUAUACCAAGAUACCGACCUUAACCAGGUCUCUAACAUAGCAUCAUCAUAUAUAUACCAGGAUACAGACAUAGCAAGCAAUAACAUAUCAAACAGAUACCCAUAUUUCAAUCCGAGAAAGGGUUGGCCUUGGUGCCUUAGACCCUGUCGAUAUAGUGAGGAUAACUCACCUGCAACUGCCGACUUGAAGAAAUAAGACCACAUUGCUUCGACCACCAGCACGAACUCCACCACUGAUCAUUACCAAUUAACCAAAACCAAUAAACACGAAUAAUUACCAAAAUACCCUUGAAAGUCAAACUGGUCAACCCUUGGUCCAAGUCAAAGUCCUCAGUCAAAGUCAACCUUCCUGGUUGACCCUACUCGUCGAGUCAACCCGUUGACUCGUCGAGUUCCUAUGCUCAGAAACUCCCAUGCCACGAUUCAAAUCGCCAAGUCGCCCCAAGACUCGUCAAGUCCAACAAGCUCUAAGUCCUUUCCUGCUCAACUCACCGAGUCAUCCCUCGACUCACCGAUUCACAACUCAACCAGAAAAGGUUAGGACUUCACGACCAGACUCGCCGAGUCCAAGAACAGACUCACCGAGUCCGAGGCAAUCUUCAACAGAGUCGUCGAGUUGUUCUUCCAACUCAUCGAGUUCCUACCCAUCUUUAUACAAUUCGCCGAGUCCACCCAUGUGACUCGCCGAGUUACUAUGCGACUCAAGUCUAAUAUCUAGCCCGACUCACCGAGUCAUCUCCCAGACUCAUCGAGUCCAUACAUAACAUCUUCAUUCAGACGAUUUCAGGCCAUUUCAUUACUUCCAAAACAUAGAUCUAGACUCCUAGGGCCAGAUUCACACGUAAAGUUUCCAACUUUACGUGCAUGCAAGGCUCAACAAGCUCCAAUCAAGCUAUAAGGAGGUUUUGGGACAAAGAUACUCUAAAUCAAACCCCAUGGCUAAUGCUUUAGGCUUUCAUAGCUCACUAUUAACCUAGAUCUGAAGUUGCAACUUCAUAUCUAACCUCUAAACCCAAAAUGGGUUCCAAUCAAGCUAAAAUUCCCAAAACAACCAAGAAUGGAUCUAGAAGUAUAAAACUCAAGGUAACGACUUGUUACCUCAGAAAUGUGCCCAAGAAGAAGUAAAUUUCGAAUCUACAAUGAUCUCCCGAUGCUAGCAUCUUGAUAUUCUAACUUUCUUGUCUUAAAUUCUUCUUCCAAGCUCAAACUUUAACAAUGGAGGCUCAUACACACUAAUUAGGGUUUCUAGAACUCAAAUGGGCAGAAAAGAGGCUGAGGGUGGCUAUAAUGUUCUUUAUAUAGGGUACAACUUCCGGGAUUAGGGUUUUCUCCCUUUAGCACCAACUUGUCGAGUCCAUCUGCCGACUCGGCGAGUUGGCCACUUAACCCGUAACAAAAUUCCGCUCAGACUCGGCGAGUAAGAGGACCUACUCGUCGAGUCCCUGACUUAAUUUACACUCUACUCCCUGGAACUCUUGCUUCUAACUUGGUAUGUUACAAUUCUCCCCCACUUAAAUUAGGCUUCGUCCUCGAAGCCUGCUGCAGCACAAAAUUCCAAAAUAAUAAUCCCACGAUGAAACUUCGGAUCUCAACUGACUCAGAUUCCUCCAAACACUACCAUCAAAUCUCAUAGAAUCCAACUCUUUCUCUGUAGAUUUCUGACAAUUGCUCCAAACUGGCUACCUGCUUUCUCCUACUGAUAACAGCACUUAUCAACUCAGGGUCACCCAGAGGAUACAUUCUUAUUUCUGAAUUUUCCCACUUCGCCUCGCGCGAAACUAGAUAUCAUUACAACGUACCGGUCCUGACCCGAUACCAAUUCGUUACCCCUUGCCCAAACCGGCACUACUUCUAUUGAAUUGCACUGCUGGGAACUCAUCCCGAUUUCUUCUUGAAACAACUCUUUCUUUCCAUGCUAACAGGAUGAUAAAUCCUACAGCUCCUGAGCAACUCCUAUGAGCUCCCAUUUACAAACAUAUACACAUAUUGAACCUGAUCCAACAUCCUUGGGCUGGAAAGACCCGACACACUGACGAUACCUCCAGACAUCCCCCGGAUGAAAUACCACUACAUACAUAACCUCCUAAUCACAACCCUACUGAAAAUCCAAGACUUCAUCCUUGUAUCCCUUCCGAACUCCUCUGGUUCUACACCACCGGAAAUUCUUCCGCGGCCUCAACGGACACCCAACCCGUAUGUGCUUUCAUACCACUGGUACAAACACAAUGCUCAAUAAUCAUAAUUGGAAUACUUUCAAUCAUCCAUCCAUACUAAUGCUUCCACUGCAGUGAACCAACACUCCUUCUCGGAGCUACAUACCCUUCCCUUUCCUUAUCCAAGGAAACCUACUCGACGACCUUACCACAACAACAAGUGCCACGAUGCUCACACCCCACUCUACACUAUCCCUUAUAGAGUAACUGAUAUUCCAUGCAUCACAUAUACUCUGAAUCCGAUCACAAGGGCUAUCAAAGUCCAUACACCACAUUUUACUAACAUAAUCAAUACCCGAGGCCAGACCUACUGGUUGCUAUUGCAUCACAACAUACUCAAGCCAUCUCCUCAUAUAGACCUUUCCACACCUUUUACUAACAUAAUCAAUACCCGGGGCUAGACCUACUGGUUGCUAUUGCAUCACAACAUACUCAACCAUCUCCUCAUAUAGAUCUAUCCACACAUACAGAGUCUUUAACAUGACUGGACCGCCUUACCAGGCCUUCAGCCAAUCCAGACCAUUCUCAGAACCUUCAGCAUGUCUGGCCCACCCUCCAGGGCCUUCACUCUGUCUGGACCGUUCUCCGAGCCUUCGUGCAAUUUACUCUAGUUUUUUCUUUUAAAUUUGAUACCAAUGUUUUUGCAAAUGUUUUUGGCUUUUAACAAAUUGGUGGUAGUGAAUUGGAACACCAUUGAGGAAUACUCUAUGGCCAUUGGCGUACGUAAAUGCAUUUGGCAAAAAAAAAGUCUUCCAAACAAAGACCUUGAAGUCAACAAAGCAGACCCACUAAUCACACUCAUACACAAAAAAAAAAAAAAAAAAAAAAAAAAAAAAAAAAAAAAAAAAAAGGACAUGACUGAUGCACUAAGUAAGCAUCUUUCUUGUGGAAUUUUCCAUGAAACUUCUCCCUAUCAAAUGUAUUCAUCUUUAAUAUAAUUAUAAGUAUCUUUUAAAUCUAAAAUAAAUUACAAUCAUAUUUUAACCUAAAAUAUCUUUAAUAUAACUACUUUUAAAGAUUAAUGAAAUUAUAUACCAAUAGUUUUUAAGUAAACACACGAAUGGUGUCUGUGAUUUCAGGUAAUUAGCGUGUAUUGUUCUUUAACAGUUUUUUUAAACUUGGACGGUCCCUAUGGUUUGGUUUUGUUUCGGGUUUGGUACCCAACAAAGUUAAUAUGACUAUCUUGCACUUAAUGAUAUUUUUCUAUAAUUUUUAAUUCAUUUUUUAUUAUUAUGUUAUUAUUAAAUAGAGUAAAUUAUUAAUGUCAAAUGAUACUUCACCAAACACCAGAUGCUGCCCUUAAAACCACCUACCCCACCAUUGCAAAAGAUUGAAGGAUCCAGCCUCACACCAUUUUCCCCUCUGUUACAGACAAAAAACAACAUCAUCAUCCAUUCCUGAUGAAAAUCAAAUUCAUACCAAGUUCACUCGAUCAGAUAUAUAAUCUCAACUCUCGUAAAAAUGUUAAAAAAAAGAAAUGAAAGACAGAAUUUGACAUUACGGUUUUAUUAGACAUGACAAUUUCAACCCAUUUACUUGAAAAUAGGCACUAAAAAUGACCUAAAUAAACAAUACAAAAUGAAGCAAUUAGAAACAGUUAGUCAUGAAACAAUAUAUACAAGGUUCAGGCAAAACGUCUAAUGCACUUGAAUUAGACAGAAUUCGGGAAUAAAACAAUUUAAACACAUAAUUAAUACUGGGGAUGCGUCAAGAAAAAAUCAAAAAUUAAAAAACAUGGAAAGCAACAUAACCCAUGAGAUAAUGUAUAUAGAAGAGCUUUUUAAGGUUUCCUAGGUUAAACCAACAUAAAUAAAUAUUAUAGCAUCUCACUUUCAUUUGUUUAACCAUAACAUUGUAUUUUCAUUUUUUUUUUUCUUAUUAUGGCAUUGUGCUUUGAAAUGUGCACCCAGUUAUAAUAUUGUUCUUCAAAAAUAAUUCUUAUUAGCAUGCUGUACUUAGAAAAUCAUCCAAAUAAUAGCAGUGAGAAUUGCUUUUUACAAUGUUCAGGCAGAAUACAAUAUGCGACACUCACUCGGAAGAAGAGUUGCUGAUUUUGAGUUCUUUACCAAAUUUACAGUUAUUAAAACUGAAUAAGACUAUUGCCACAUGCUACAACUCACAUCUUUAAGGUUGUUAUUCAUUUCAGUUGCAACUAGUGCCAUCUCUAAUGUGUAUAACAUGAAAUAUCUGUGUUGACGUUUACAUGAAAAUAAACUAUUACCCUUUUUCUGUAAAAAAAAGGCAAUUGAUAUCAUGAACCAUAUCAGUCUUAUAAUCACAGCUGUAGUCGUAUUUACUUAUCGUCAUGGAAAACAAUCUAUAUCCACAAACUUGUAUUUUUUGGUCUUGGGAUAAUUUUCAAUUUUUCUUGAUCAAUAUAAGUGGUUUUGGGCUACUUUCCAUGAAAUACGUAAUUCUAUUUAAUCAGUUAGAAGUCACUACUACAAAAGACUUGGAAGCCAAUGGACAGUUUGCAGCCACAAACUGGUAAGCUCUGGGCCUCGCCUAUCUUUUUCUUUUUUUUAUCAAUCAAAAUUAAAUGGUGUAUACGGCACCUAUAGUUAGCAUGUUACAAUCAUAUUUUAUCCUAAAAUAUCUUAAAUAUAAUUAGAUUUAUACAUUAAAGAAAUUAUAUAAUAGUUUUUUGAGUAAACCACAUAAUGGAGUCCUGUGGUUUCGGUUUUGGUCCCCAACCGAGUUAAUAUGACUAUCUUGCCCUCAAUGAUAAAUUUCUGUAAGUUUUUAAAUCAUUUUUUAUUAUGUUAUUAUUAUUAAAUAGAGUAAAGAAUUAUUAACGUCUAAAAUGGACCCACCCAUCAACCCCACGUCGCUUGUCUUCAUCAGAGAAAUAUCACGGCCGCCAGUUUCAAAUUUCAAUGGUCUAAAAUGGUCACUCGUUGGAGUAAAAAGAAGUGAUCUAGGACUGUGGAGUAAAGAGACCUUGAGGAGAUAACAAGAGUGUGGGAGUGGGGGCAUUGUAGGACCCAAUGUUUUAAUAAUAAUAAAAAUAAUGUAUAUAAAAUAAUUAACAAAUAAAAAAUCUAGUAAGGGCAAAAAAGCAUUUUUAGGACAAGAAUCGUAACAAAACAAUACCACAUGGAUAGUCCGAGUUAAAUCCAACUUUGAAGUCAACAAAGUAAACCCCAAAUAAAAUAAGAAAAAAAAAACUUCUAUUUAACCAUAUCUUAAAAAAAAAAAAGGAUCAUCAAAGUAAUAUUUAUCGUUAAUUUAAUAAAUCAAAUUUGUAAACAUAAAAAUAUUGAAAACAUUUGAAAAGGAUUUGUGUGAAUAAAAGAUACCAAAUAAAGCAAACCUUACAUCAGUACAAAAGUUAACAAAAUUGAAAGAAUUACAAAUUUCUACAGGAAUACCAUAUUCCAUUCCAUCAGACACAACAAACAUACUUUCAGAAUCCAAUGUAAUAAACGAUUCCGAUUCCAUCAAACCAGAAAACGAAAAUAAAAAUUAGGGUUUACCUGAGUGUGAGCAAGAACACGGAUGACAUUGCAGUACUUCUUCAUCUUCUCCAGCUGUGACUGGAUGUCUCUCUUUCCUGUUUCAGUUUCAUCUUUCUUUGAAUAAUUUGUAAAAGCUUUCUUUUUUUGAUUUGCACUCAGAUGCUUUUAUAAAAUCUCCUCUUGAUGUCUUCACUCAGAUGCUGGGCCCACACUGUGUUCGAGCUGCGGAGCCCACGUGGGGUCUUGACAUACCCCAACAACCACCAUUGGGGGUGUUUCAAUGAUUGUCACUGCCUCACAUGUCUCUUUCUUGUGGAGUUCUAAGAUAAAAGGAAUGAAAAUUUAUUACACAUAAAGUAGUAAAUAGUAUGCUAUCCUUCUGAACUUUUAUGGUAUUUAUCGAUGAAGUGCAGAGAAGUAAAAAUUAGUUGGUAAAUUGUAUUUACAGUCGCCAAGUUUAGCUGAUUUUUCAGUUUUAGUACAAAGAAGACCACAUGUAAUUUUGGUCCUUAUUUUGAGGUUUUGGUAAUACUCUGUGCCUCUUUUUUUAAAUAUAUACCAACACCAAAACAUAAGAGAUUAUGGUUAACGGAAGAGAAAUAUAACAAACAUUUUAAAAUUGAAACCUUUAACAACAUCCACAUUACAAACAUAGAUACAAAUAGUUUCAUUAAAACAAAAACUUCAUUGAUAACAUAUAUCUGAGAAUUACUUGCAUUCCAGAGCGCCUAUACAGCUUCUCUUCCUCUCUUGAUCUUGGCAACGCUUACCAUGACUCCAACGUAUAUCUUGUCCAUGAUUUUCUCAACAAACAUGAAAAGCCUCCAUCUCCACUGCUUCUUCAACAACAGAACUCCAAUUACACCCCAAAAACCUGUUGCAAAUCCACUCAUGAUGUCUGAGUAAAACCACCAUACCUUGAUUGACUCCUCAGCUGCUUUAUGUUUCUUCUUGGGCUUUGCUGUUGUUGUUGGGUCUUGAUGAUCUGAGCAAUUGUUUGUCAAUGGAGGUCCACAAAGAUCUCUGUUCCCAGAAUAUAUUGAUGGAUCAUCAUUAAGGGUCUGCAACUGAUGGCCUGUUGGAAUUCGUCCCCACAAGUUGUUGUGUGACAGAUUCAGAUGGCUCAAAAAAGUCAAAGCUGCCAUGCUUGGAGGGAUCGUCCCGGUCAACUUGUUUCCAGAUAAAUCAAGAGAUUCUAACCUCGUCAUGUUCCCAAUGCUGUCUGGAAUAUUCCCACUGAGAUCAUUAUUUGACAAAUUGAGACCCAACAACAUACGAAGUGCAGUUAGCUCCACUGGUAUAUCUCCAACAAGUUUAUUGCUUGAAAGGUCCAUGUUAUAAACUAUAUCCAAAAUUCUUGCAUAUACAAGAUCAACACCUUUCAUAACCGGAAUCACAUUCUCAUUAGAAUCAGCCCAACCAUUAUUGUCAUACCACUUUUCUGCACCAUUAACCAUUGCAUUCAACUCUCUUAGGCAAUGAGGGAUGAUACCCGUUAAGUUGUUGUAUGCAACAUCCAAAAUUUGAAGAUUUGACAUUUUGCAUAAAGAUUCAGGAAUUUCCCCGGUAAAGUUAUUCUUGUGUAAUCUUAAAACAAUCAAACUUGUCAGGUUUUCUCCAAUCCAGUGGGGUAUCUUUCCAAACAAUUGAUUAUCACCCACAUCUAGGACUCUUAAAUAUCUUAAAUUCCCCAACUCUUGAGGAAGUUCACCAGUAAAGUUGUUGUCAUUUAAUUUUAACCAAUGCAAUGAUGAAUGACUAAGUGCUAUAUAGCUUGGAAUGACACCUGAAAGUAAAUUUGAGCUAAAGAUCAUGGCACCCAACCAUUUCAGAUUCUGGAGACACUUGGGAAUUUUCCCUGUUAACCUAUUUCUGGAAAGAUCAAGUAAAACUAAAUCUGUCAUUCUGCACAACAACUUUGGAAUUGACUCAUUGAAAAUGUUAUUUGCUAGUAUUAAUGCCAGUCCUAUUUCUGGAAGGUUUGUCAAUGGUCCGCUGAGUUUGUUGUGAGAGAGAUCUAAGAAAUCAAUGACAGGCAUCUUCCGCAACCAUGUGGGCAGAGGUCCCGAAAUUGAAGCAUUCGACAACACUAACUCAGAGAGCAAGAACUGAUUUCGUAGCCACUGUGGCAAUCCAUUUGUGAGAUUGCAGGAACUGAGAUCAAGAUGAUACAACUGGAAUGGAGGUAUCCACUCACGUGAGACAUUGAAUGCCAACUUGGUGUUAGAAGAAGCAUCCAAGUGCUCCAACAUCGAAAGGUUAGCAAAAUGGGCUUCAGAAACUACUCCUUCUACGGAAUUGUCUGAGAUAUCUAGAUAUUUGAGUUUGGCAAGUUGCCCAAUUGAAACCGGAAUAGUCCCAUUUAACAAAUUUGAAGAAAGAAAAAUAUCUUGUAAUGCAACAAGUCUUCCUAGAGAUGCUGGGAUGGGGCCCGUUAACCGAUUGGAUCCUAGAUUCAAAUGUGUUAAAGCUGAUAAAUUUCCAAAGGAUUCUGGAAUUGAACCAUUCAAUUGGUUGGAAGAAAGGUCAAGUCUGGAAAGAUUCCCAAUGAAUGUAGGAAUGGGACCGAUCAACUGGUUAUUAGAUAGAUCUAACAUUUCUAAAUGUCUUAGUCUUCCUGCAAAUUCGGGGAUUGGACCUGUCAAACUGCUCAUUGAUAGAUCUAAGUGUCUUAAAUCGGUUAGUCUUCCAAGUGCUUCUGGAAUCGUACCAUUCAAAGAACCACUUAAAUCCAACGACUCCAAAGCAUAUCGGGAGCAUUCCGAUGUGUUUUGUGGUGAGUCAUUCAUUUCUAUUUCAAAAAGAUUUCCAUAUGCAGCCAAUGUUUUCAGGUGACAGUGUCUCCAGAUUCCAACAUCCUCAAUAUUCUUAAAAUGGUUAGAAGAAAGAUAAAGCUCUAGAAGGUCAGGCAUAAUUGGAACCCAAGAAUGCAGCAUGUUUCCUGAGAGAUCAAGGACUCUUAAGGAACUCAUGUUUGUGAAAAAAGAUGGAAUUAUGCCUUCAAUUGAAUUUUGGCUAAGAUCCAGGUGUUGUAUGUUAGAAAGCAUACUGAUAUUAAAAUGAGCGGAGGAUAGAAAAGUCUUAUUAUCUAGCCAACAACUUGAAAAAUGCAGCUCUGAUAAAGAGGAAGGGAUCAUGUUUAGCAAGUUUGCAAAGUUCCAUGACAAACUAAGAUUAAAACCAGAAAGAUCCAGAAAUUCAAGGGAUGUCAUGUUUUGGAAAAAUCCAGGGAGUGAAGUUUUCAAAGAAUUAAAGCCAAGAUCAAGGUGUUGUAUGUUGGCAAGAAUUCUACUCGAAUUAAGAAAAGGACCAAGAUGGACAUUGGAAAGUCCACAACCAUGCAAACUUAACUCUUUUAAUGAACGAAGAUUGUAAAGCACCUUGUCCCAACCACUAAGAUUCAACCAACUCAAGUCAAGAUGCUCGAGUGAUGAAAGGCCAAAAGUCCAUGACAUAUCAUCUGACAUCAGCUCACCAUUCCAACUGAGAUCCAAAACCUUUAAAUUAGAAAGAUUUCCAAUGUGAGGAGGAAUAAUACCUUGAAAACCAGCAGCAGAGAGAUUGAGGUACAUCAGCUGUUUGAAGGAUCCAAUGAACUCAGGGAACCGGCUUCCUCCAAAAUCAUUCCGACUCAAGUCCAGGUACUUGAGAUGCCUCAACUCAGCCAAUGAAGAGUUCACCGCAUUACCAACUAAGUAGUUGUCUCCUUCGCUACCAUAAUAGUAAUCUCCAUUGAGAUUGAGGCUGUCAACGGUUCCAGUGAGACUGUCACAGUGGAUUCUUUCCCACAGGCAACAAUCCUCCCCCACCCAUGAUGACAACAUUCCAGAAGUAUCUUCAACACUCCCUUUGAACUUGAGAAGAGCAAGUCGCUCUUUUUGAGAGCAGGCGACACUGACAUUUCCAACACCAAAACAAGAAUAUUUGUUUGCAACCAAAAAAACACAUACGAAAAUGAGAUGGAUCCCUAAACCCCUCCGAAUUCCCAUUAUUAACCCUCCUUAACUAACUUGGUUUAAUUUAGAAGGAAGUUGAAGUGGAGAGAUAGGUUGUUACAUUGAAGAAACUACUGCAUUUAUAAUGCCAUAAAUGAAAAACAACUUAUUUCCAUGAAAGACUAGAAGUUAAUGGACAUUUGGAUGCACAAGUUGUAUUUUUGUGGUACACAUGGUAGAUGCAAUUGUAAAUGGAAACAAUUCUUUUAAAAAUAUAAAAUAAAUGAAACCCAAUAAUUGACAAACAAGCAUUUAGAUUUUCAAGAAGUCUAAGAUUAUUUUAUAAUAUUUUGUAAAUAGUAGUUAUAAAUUAUAAAAUUAAUUUUGAUGUUCAAUCAUUUUACAAAACUAACUUCAAGAAAAUAAGUUUUUUGUUAUUAUUUGACUUGACAAGGUUGAUGUGUCAAGCUUAAUUAAAAGAUACAUUAUGUAACUCCACAUUAAAGAUAUUAUAUAUUUUUUUUUUAUAAAAGAUGUGUUUUCUCAAAUGCAUUACAAUUUCAUUAGACAUAACAAUUUCAACCCAUUUAAUUGAAAAAUAGGUAUUUGUUAUAUUAAUAAUAAAAAUACCUAUUUUCAUAAUAAUAUAAAUAGAUAAAUAAAGAGACGUUGAGGAGAUAAAAACGGGGCGGGUGGGGGUUGGGGAAUUUAUGGGAUCCAAUAUUUUAAUAAUAAAAAAAUAAAGUACAAAAAAUAAUUAAAGAUAUAAAAAAUCUAGUGAGGGAAAAAAUGUAUUUUUAGGGCUGUUAGGGAUAAAAAUCAUAAUAAAACAAUACCACAUGGAUGGUCCGACUUGAGAAAUAAUAAUAUUAAAUAAGGGACCAAGCAUACACAUUACCUUAAACCAUAGGGACCAUUCAUGCAAUUUACUCUAGUUUUUCUUUUAAAUAUGAUACCAAUAUUUUUAGAAUUGUUUUUGGCUUUUCACAUAUCGGUGUUAGUGAAUUGAAACACUAUUGAGGAAUAGUGUAUGGCCCAUGGCACAUGUAAAUGCAUUUGGCAAAAAAAAAAAAAAUCUUCCACACAAAGACAUUGAAGUCAGCAAAGUAAACCCACUAAUCACACCCAUAAACAAAAAACAUGGAGGACACGAAUGAUGCACUAAGUAUGCAUCUUUCUUGUGGAAUUUUCCAUGAAACUUCUCUGUAUUCCUCUUUAAUAUUAUUAUUUGUAUCUUUUUAAUCUAAAAUAAAUUACAAUCAUAUUUUAACCUAAAAUAUCUUUAAUAUAACUACAUCUAAACUUCCAUAAACACGUUAAAAAUAGAAACGAAAGAAAAAAUGCACAUAAACCAUCACUGUGGUAGUUCACAGGAAGCACAAGUUUAGGGACAGUAGAAACCAUAUCAGGUACUUAAUGAUCUUACACUUACACAUGUGCAAACUUUGACAACAUGCAAUGCCUACUGAAAAAGGUUUAUUUACUAAUGCGAAUUAAAAAAUAAAAAAAUCUAUUGACCUACAAUAAUUAUGGUAUCAUGUACCAGUAGAUAUCAAUACAAAACCUAAUCUAAUAAUAUUGGGAGCAAUUACACACAUACAUUAUGCAUAUAUAAUAUGUGGCCUAGUAAAACUAUGCACACAUAAAUAAAUAAAAAUUCAUUUGUAGGAACUGCUUUCAUAGCAUAUGAAGAAGAACCAGUUCCAAAUAUAGCAGCAAUACGAAAACCUGUUUUUAUUUUUCCAAUUUUCACACAGUAAACAAAAGCAAGAGAAAAUAGAGGCUUUUCACGAGCACAGGUCAACAUAGGACUAUAGUCUAUAGGUGAUUCGUUGAUACAAUAAAAAAAUACAAACACUUUUAAGUAUCAAAGGAUCUACUGAGAAGCAGAGGUUUAAUUGAGCUUGAAGCAUUUCCUCCCUUAAACAGGUAAUUACAGAUUACGUGGUGACAUUAUAUCUACCAUUAGGAGCUGCAAGUGUGUUGAAAAACAGAGGCUAUCACCAUCUGCUUAUAUGCAUCAUUACCUUCUCUGUGUUACAGGUCCCAAUUUGUGUGACAAUUAGGUCAGACAGAAUCAUAAAAGUAUAGAUGGAUCAUUUUCCCAGUAUACAUCAAUGCAAUUGGAUUAUAUUACACAUAAAAACAUAUAUGCAUCGUUUUCAAUAGCCCUAAAUUACUAUCUUUUUUAUCUUACAGGUCCCAAUUUGUGUGCUGAAUUUUCUUAAAAAAACAAAUACAGCAAAGUUCAUAAAAUAUAGAGAAUUAGGUCAAAGAAAAAAAGAAAAUCGGAAAACAUACCAAGUGAACACCAUAUGAAUCGGUAGUGUAGGCUUCGCCUUUUCCCCGUUCUCGUCUACUUCCAGGUGACGAUAGUUUUGAGAGUACUCGAAAUUUGGGGGAAAUUUUGUUACAAGUAAAUUACAAAUUUGGUCCCUUAGGUUUCGUUUUGUUACAGAUAUAUAACCCAUUUAGUAAAAUCUAGGAUUAAUUACAAAUUUGGUCAUUUUUGUAUUAUGUCAAAAUCUAUAAUUUUCAAAACUAUUUCUUCGAUGGACCAUUUAUGUGUAAGGUCCUCAAAAUGAGGUCAAGCAAAUAGAAGUGAGUUAAAAUGCUUAAAGGAAGAAGAAGUGAUGUUGGGUUACUACCAUAAAAAUAAAGUAUGAUGUUAUUAUAAAUAUUUUUAUAUUUUUGUAAUCAUUACAUUAAAUUUGGAGAUUCAUAGUAACUUAAACCUAAAAAUUAUUAGGUGUAAAAGUCCUAUAAAUUAUAUAUAUAAAGAGGACUGAUAUGGUUGGGAUCCGAAAUGAAAGUUGUGAGAAUGAUAUAGUAUUAAUUACAUGAUAGCAAGGGAAAAAUAAAUAAAAAUAAUAAUUUUGUUUCUUUAUUACUAGUUAAGGGGUACCAAUUGGUAGGGGAUCACACAAACACACACUUCUCUUGUGUACACCUUGUAAUCGAUAUAUAAACAACAAAGAAUGAGGUACUUGUGGUUGGCAAAUUAUAGGAUUUUUCAAGUUCAAUAUUCAUGUUUGAGGUCCAAGUCCAACAAUGACAAGAUAUAAAAUUAAUGUUUAUAUGUUGGAAAGGAUGAUAUAAAUCUAUUUUUUUCAAUGUGUAAUUAUGUGUGAAAUAGAAGAAUAUAUGAUCAAAAAAAUAAUAAUGUGUGACAUGUAGAUAUAGCUUGAAUUGGUGAAAUAUUAUUUUAUGGAAGGUUAAUUGCAAAUUAAGGAAAAAUUGGUCCAUAAAUGGAUAGCAUAUCUUGUUUGGGUAAAGGUCAAGGAAAAUGGACACGUAAAUAAUUUGAGAAUGAUUUGUCAAAGUGUUGAAUAAAAAAAAAAUGUAUGUAAACAAAGAUACUUGACAAGUUGGAAAUGUUGGUUAAUUUCAUAUUGGAAAGUAGGACGCUAAUUUCCUUGUAUAUGUAAAGUAAACAUAACUAUAAGUGUAUCUGUAUUAAAGUGAACUUGAAAUAACAUAUGAUGAUGCAAGAAUGAAAGAAAGAUGAAAGUUGUAUCUAGUAAGUAAUGUAUUACUUGAAAUGGUAUGGAUAGGAUCAUCACAGACAUGGAAAAAAUAAAAUAAGAAUUCAUACUCAAGAUAUGUAGAUACAUGUGUUUGAUCCUCCAAUAUCACUCAAAUUGAAGUUAAAGUUGAUGCUUCUUGUAUUAGAGUUAUAAAUAUCCACUGUUAAUAUUAAGUUGAAUACAAAUACAAUAAUGGUAAAAUCUUUAUUAAUUACUGAUGAAAACACAUUAAAGAAACUAUGUUCACAGCAUAAAUCUGCAUCGAUACACUGUAAAAGGAUCAUACACCCAAUGCAGAAACCAAGAUAAUGAUAAUGAUGUUAAACAUCAUGAAUUACAUAUGAAUUCCCUCUGAUAUCUUAUAUCUUAAUCAAAGAAUUACAUCAAAAUAUAUACAAAACAAGUAACAAAGGCAUAUUACCAGAUCAGAAAAUUGAAGGAGAAACAAGACAACAGAAACAUAUAAAGAAAGAGAAGAUGAGAUUAACACAGUGAACCCAUGAUGAUUAUGGAAUCAGUUGUGGUGUUUGAAGCAGAACCAAACCAUCAACCUAAGAUGUAACCCUAAUCUAAUCUAACAACUUCAUCUUGUAUAAAUACCGAAUCAAACAAACAUUUCAAAAUUAACACCUUUUAAUACCAUCUAUAUCACAAAUCUCAUAAAAAUCUAAAAUCCAAAUAGUAUUAUAAACAAGCACAAUAUCAAUAUUAAAAGGACUGUUAAUCCUUAAUUGAUGAUAUAUAUUUAAAAAGGAUCUAUGCGUCUUCUCUUUGUCUCUUCAUUUUGGCAACUCUUACCAUGACUGCAACAUAUAUCUUGUCCACGGUUUCCUCAGCAAACAUGAAAAGUUUAUGUCUCCAAUGUUUCUUGAAUAACAAAACUCCUAUAACACCCCAAAACCCUGUUGCAAAACCACCGAUUAUGUCCAAAUAAAACAGCCAUAUCUUCGUGGGCUCGUCGUCUGCUUUGUAUUUUUUGUCGGGCGUUGUUGUUGGGUCUUCAUGAUUUAAGCAAUUCUUUGGCAAUGGAGAUCCACACAGAUCUUUGUUCCCAGCAUAUAUUGAUGGAUCAGUAAGUGUCUGCAAUUGACGACCUGUUGGAAUUUGUCCAGACAAGUUGUUGUAUGAAAAAUUCAAACGGCUCAAAAAAGUCAGAGCUGCCAUGCUUGGAGGUAUCCUCCCUGUUAAUAUAUUUUUUGAGAAAUCGAGAGAUUCUAACUUCGACAUGUUUCCAAUGUUGUCGGGAAUACCCCCACUGAGAUGAUUAUUAGACAGAUUAAGACCCACCAACAUCGAAAGUGCAGUUAGCUCGAUUGGUAUUUCUCCAACAAGUUUAUUGCUUGAAAGGUCUAUGCUAAAAAGUAUACCCAGAAUUGUACCAUAUUCAAGUUCAAGACCUUUUAUGACCUCGAUCACAUUCUCAUUGUAACCGUAUUGCCAAAGAGGCGAAUGUACCCGACUACUAUUAAACAUCGCAUUCAGCUCGCCUAGACAAGGAGGGAUAGCUCCCGUUAAGUUGUUACAUGCAACAUCAAGAACUUGAAGAUUUGAAUCUUUGCAUAAAGAUGGAGGAAUUCUUCCGGAGAAGUUGUUUUUGUGUAACCUCAAAACUACCAAAGAUUUAAGUUUUUCUCCAAUCCAUUCAGGUAUACUUCCGGAGAACUUGUUAUCACCCAAAUCUAAGACACUUAAAUAUCUUAAAUUCCCCAACUCUUGGGGAAGUUCACCACUAAAGUUAUUGUCAUUCAAACUUAAUCGGAUUAAUGAUGAAGAAUUAAGUGCUAUAGAACCUGGGAUGACACCAGACAACCGAUUUGAGCUAAAUCUCAUGGCAAGCAAGUUUUGGAGAUUCUCAAGACACGUGGGGAGUUUCCCGGUUAACAUGUUUCUGGAGAUAUCAAGAAAUAUCAAACUUGUCAUUCUGCAUAAUGAUCUUGGAAUCGACUCAUUAAAACGGUUACUUUGAAGGAAUAAUUUUCUCAUAGAUCCAUAUUCAUUAGGAAGAUUUCUCAAAGGACCCUUAAUUUCGUUGUAAGAGAGGUCUAAGAUACUAAUGACGGGCAGCUUCCGCAACCAUGUGGGCAGAGGUCCCGAAAUUGUAGCAUUCGACAAGAUUAACGCCUCAAGUUUCCUUUGAUUUCUAAGCCACUGUGGGAAUCCAUUUGCAAUAUUGCAAGAACUGAGUUGAAGAAUUACCAAUUGGAACGGGGGUAUCCAUUCACGUGAAACAUUAAAUGUCAACUUAGUGUUAUAAGAAGUAUCUAGUUCAGUCAACAUCGCAAGUUUACCAAAAUGGGCUUCAGAAACAACUCCUUCUAAUGAAUUAUUAAAGAUAUUUAGAGAAUGGAGUUUGGAAAGUUGCCCAAAUGAAAUUGGAAUAGUCCCAUUUAACAAAUUUGAAUGCAACGAAAUUGCUUUUAGUGAAACAAGUCUUCCUAGAGAUGCUGGGAUAGGGCCGGUUAACUGAUUGACUUCUAGAGACAAAUCUGUUAAAGCGGUUAAUUUUCCAAAUGACUCUGGAACUGAACCAUUCAAUCUGUUAAAAGAAAGAUCGAGUUUGGAAAGUUUCCAAUGAAAUGUUGGAAUGGGACCAGUUAACCGAUUGAAUUGUAGAUGCAAAUCUGUUAAAGUUGCUAAGUGGCCAAAGGAGUAUGGAAUUGAACCAGUCAAUUGAUUGAAAGAAAGGUCAAGUUUGGAAAGUUUCCCAAGGAAUGUAGGAAUGGGACCCAUCAAAUCGUUAUUGGACAGACAUAACUCCUCUAAGAAUCUUAAUCUUCCUAGAGAUUCGGGGAUUGGACCUGUCAAUCCACUGUAUGAUAAAUCUAAGACUCUUAAAUUCAACAACAGACUUCCAAGUGGUUUUGGAAUUGUACCAUUUAAACUCCCACGUAAAUCCAACCUCUCCAAAGAAUAUCCGGAGCAUUCCGAUAUGUUUUUUUGGUGAGGCGAUCAUCUCUAUAUCAAAAUCAUUUCCUGAUGCUUUCAAUCGUUUCAGGUGACACUGCCUCCAGAUUCCAACCUGCUCAAUCUGCUUAAACUUGUUAAAAGAAAGAUCAAGGUCCAGAAGGUUUGGCAUAAUAGGAACUGAAGAACUUAACAUGUUUUUUGAAAGGUCAAGAACUCUUAAGGAACUCAUAUUUGUAAAAAGUGAUGGAAAUAUGCCUUCAAUUGAAUUUUUGCUAAGAUCCAGGUGUUGGAUGUUAGAAAGUGUACUGAAAUUAAGAUGAGGGGCAGAUAGGUGCAUGUUAUGGAGCCCACAAAUUGACAAAUGCAACUCUGAUAAAGAAGGGAUCAUGUCUAACAAGUGUUGAAAGUUCUGAGAAAAACUAAGAUCAAACCCUGAAACAUCUAGGAAUGUUAGGGAUGUCAUGUUUUGAAGAAAACUAGGGAGUGAACCUCUGAAAGAAUUGAAGCCGAGAUCCAGGUGUUUGAUGUUGUGAUGUAUUCUACUUGAAUUAACAGUGGAACCAAGACCAACAUUGGAAAGUCCACAUUUUGACAAACUUAUCUCUUUUAGCAGAGGAAUCAUGAAAAGCACCAUGUCCCAGUUUUGUGCUCCAGCAAGAUUCACCAAACUUAAGUCGAGAUGCUCGAGUGAUGAAAGGCCAAAAGUCCAUGCCAUAUCAUCCGCCAUGAGCCGUCUAUUUGAACUGAGAUCAAGAACCUUUAAAUUAGAGAGAUUUCCAAUGUGAGGAGGAAUAAUACCAUGAAAACCAGCGUAAGAGAGAUUAAGGUACCUCAGCUUCGUUAAGGAACCAAUGAAAUUAGGGAUCCGGCUUCCUUGAAAAUCAUUCCCACUCAAGUCUAAGUAUUUUAGAUGCCUUAACUCCGCCAACGAAGAGCUCACCUCAUUACCAACUAAAUAGUUGUCAACAGUGUAAGAAUAAGAGUCCCGAUCUCUUCUCAGAUGAAGUCUUUCAACAUCUCCAGUGACACCAUCACACUGAAUUCCUUCCCACCUGCAACAAUCACUGCCAAUCCAUGAUGACAACAUUCCAGAAGGAUCUUUGAUGUUGUGUUUGAACUUAAGAAGAGCAAGACGCUCUCUCUGAGAGCAAACAACAGAGAUAUUUCGAACACCCAAACAGGUAUACGUGUUUGCAAGAAAAACUAUACUUGUGAAAAUGAGAUGCAGCCCCAAACCCCUUGGAUUCCCCAUUAGCAACCCUUCCUAAUUAACUUGGUUUUUUUUUUCGAAAAAAUAAUGAAGUGGAAAGAUGAGUUCUUAUGAUGAACUGGUGGGUUUUUAUGAUCAAGAAACUACUUUAUUUAUAAACCCUGAAUUGAAAGCAACUUGCUGCCAUCAAAGACUUGCAAGUCAAUGGACAUGACUUGGAAAAUUUGGAAGUCAAUAGACAAAUUCUAUCCACUGGCAUAUUUUUCUUUUUCUCAAUCAAAAUCUGGUGGGGUGUGUGUAUGUGUGUGUGUGUGUGUGUAUAUAUAUAUAUGUGUAUAUAUAUAUAUAUAUAUAUAUAUAUAUNNNNNNNNNNNNNNNNNNNNNNNNNNNAGGAAAGAGAAAUAUGAAAAAAAGAACUGACAUCUGUGACAAAUACUUUAAUUUGACAGAAUAUGACCUCUAUACAAAUUUUACAUUAAUCCUCAACUUUCAUUUUUUUUAUCGCCUAUCUAAAGUACCUUUUUAUGUUUUAGAGGUAACAAUUUCAACCAAUACAUGUAUUUCUAAAUAUAAAGUUUCAUUCAAGUACUUUUAAGUCUACAUAACUACACCCUUGACUUUUACAUGAGGGAUUAAAGAACUAAGUUGCAGAAAAAGAAAGUUAUUGACUAGCUAACUUUACUUUGAAAUUUACACAAAAUUACAAACUUGACUUUGACAUUUAAAGGAUUAUAAAACUAACUAUGUUGCAGGAAAAGACAGCUAUUGAUGAUUAUUUGACUUUAAGGGUUAUGUUUCAAGCCCAAUAAAAUACUAUUUAGGGCUAAAUGACCAUCUAGAAACCCACUUUCGUUCAUUUCUCACUACAGCCAAUAUAGAUUUUAUGCACAAUACUAAGUUACUAACACACUCAUUUCCAUUUUGGGCCAAAAUGACAUAUAUUUCCCUAAAGCUGUUUUUUUUUUUGUUGACUUGUGAUCUUAUGCCUAUGUUAUGGUAGAAGAGAACAAAAUGACACACAUCAAUUGGUCCAUGCAAUACAUACAUACAUAUGGGCAAGUGCAUCUGUGCAUGGGAACUGAAAGAUAGUACGUGUUUGAUCUCAGCUGUUAAAUAAAAAGAUCCGAUGGACACCAGACUAAGAAAGCCUUGACAAUUAUUGAACCUGAGAUCUCACUUAGCAGAGUUAGAUUAUUUCCCCACAACUCUUUACACAAUAACUUUGAAGUAAACACGUACACACAAACGUAGUGACAUGAUGAUUGAUGCUGCACCUAGCAUCUUUCUGGUAGAAUUUUAAAUGCUACUUCCUAACAGCGCUUUCGAUAUAGGAUAAAAUUUUUAAGAGAAGUGUCAAACAUUUUUUUUAAAAUAAUGAAAUACAUAAGGCUUCAAUUUUCUAAUACAAAACCGUAUGAUGAUUAAUACACCUUUAUAAAAUUCAAAACAAUAAUUGUUCAACAAACUUCUAAAAAUGAAGAUUAAUCUCUACUUUACUGAACAUUAUCACAACAAAACAAAAGAAAAAAUGCACAAAAACCAUUACUGCAGAAGUUCACUGUGGUCAACAGGUUUCCUUAAUUGGGCAUUUUGGAAAUUUGAUUAAGGGUAACAUUUUUUAUCAAAUUAGAUGUCAAGCAUAUAUGGCAUUUUUUCGCACGGAGGGAGUAAGUAUCUACUGUUUUAACACUGAUUAUUUGGGUGUUUAUAGUACUCUUAGAUUAGCAUUCAUUUAUCCCUACAAACUAAACAAUUUCAUAUCAAUUUUUAAAUAGGAAGUAAUUAAUUGGCAAACCAAGGUGGGUUCCAGGCAUCGCCUUACGGAAUGAUUAUGUGGAUGAUGGGCAGCUAUUCAGAGUAAAUAAUUUAAUAACUUGAAGCAUAUGUCAGCAUGAAUCCAGAAGGACCAUCAUCAUCUCUUUGUGCUUUUUUUUUAUGGCUGAGCUACAAGAGCUCAUUUCUUCCCCAUAAUGCCACUGAUAAAAGGUUCUACUGAGAAGCAGGGGAAACACUUGAGUUUUAAGCAUCUCCACCUGUUUAACAGGUAUUAACAGAUAAUGAGUUUGACAUUAUAUCUACCAUUAGGAGCUCCAAAAGUGUUGCAGAACAAAGUCCAUCACCAUCAGCUUAUAUGAAUCAUCAUAAAAUCGCAUGAUUUCGAUCUUCUAUGUCUUACAGGUCCCAAUUUUGUGUGAGAAUUAGGUCAGACAGAAAUAUAAAAACUUAGAAGCAUCCCAAUACGAUGCAUCCGUUUCUACCAUGCUAAAUUACUAGGUUCAAAUUUGUGUGUUUUGUUGCAUGUUAAAUUUUUUGUAAAAACUAAAUAGAGUAAGUUCAUGAAAUCAAUAAGAAAUUAGCGCAAAUAGAAAAAGAAUUGGAAUACCCAGCGAACAUCGAUGACUCGAGAAUUAAGAAGGAUAGAGAUAAAACAGAUUCGCCUUUUCCCCUGUACACAACUACUACUUCGCUGGAGGAAGCAUUCCUUUCGAGAAGAACUGGAAGUUUGGGGAAAUGUGUUUUUUUAAUUAAAAUACAAAACGGGUUCUUUUUUUUUUUUUUUUUUAAAUGACAUGUUUUGUCCAGAUUAACUUUUUUCUUACAAAUUUUUCUUUAAAGAACAUUUUAUCUCAAAUUCCAAAAGAUAAUAUACCAGAGGACCAAACUUGUAUUUUACUUAUAGUUUCAUGAGUAAACUCUUUUUUCUUAAUUAUAUGAUGUUUUACGUUUAAUGUGUAAUUAUAUCAGAAGUAUAAGUUUCUAAACUGUUUUACAUUUAUCCAAUAACAAAAGAUUUACCGCCUAAUAGUAUUAAAAGUUGACAAAAAAUUAAUCAUCAGUUAAAUGUUAAGGUUCAAGUCUCGUUUAUAGCAAAAUGUAUACAUUUAUAAGUAUAUAUGUUAGAUGGUUCUAAUUUCUUUUAGAUAUUUAUUGAAUAUGAUAGAUUUUAGACAAAAUUACAUAAGUGGUCCUUGAGGUUGAUCCAAUUGACCAACUUUGGCUCUUAUGACAAAUUUUAUGUGUAGAUAGUUCAUAUGGUUUUAAAAUCUUGCAAAGAUAUUCCUUUUGACUAAAGAUGUUAGCUUUUUCAAUUAAGUUCAUUGUGAAAUGAUCUAUUUGCCAUUCAUUCCAUACGGACCAUUUAUGUAAUUUGUUCUAUCCAUAGGGACCGUUUAUGUAACUUUCUCUAUUAUUUUUUUAUUUAAUUUAUUUAUAUUCUAUGAUUUAGAAUUUUCUUAACGUUUUGUUUGAAUAUAUUCUUGAUUUUUUUUUAAAAAAUCACUUGCAUUUUUUGAUUUUGGUUCGUGUAAUUUUUUGACAAAAUUGCAAAAAUAGUCCCUGUGGUAUGUAUUUUUUUGGGGUUUUAAUCCAAACAGUGACUUUUUUGGAUUAGUGGUCAUUUUGAGAUAGUUUGUAUGUGAAAAUAGUCCCUCCAAAAAUUGAAAUGACUAUAAUACCCUUGGGGUAUUUAUUUUUCAUUUUUCUUUCAUUUUUAUAAAUUAAAUAUUUAUUUAUUUACUUUAACAAUUAAAAAAUAAUGGAGGACCCACCUCUCUCUCUCUCUCUCUUCUCUUUUUCUCUCUCUCUCUCUCUCUCUCUCUCUCUCAUCCCGAGCUAUCACUUCAUCACACACACACACACAAACAGACGAACCUUCCCUCUUCUUUCAAUAUCCACCCUUCUCCCCUGAUUUGUUAUUUUUUUUUAAAUUACACUUCGUCAAUUCAUCAAUUCCCCUAGAUUCGAUUCGAUCUUCGAGGAUGGAAUGAUCAGUUUUUCGGAAAAAACAUUCAUUCUAUUUUCACCAUUCUUGUUCAUCAAAAAGUCGAUUUACCCACCUGUUAUCUCUCCAUACUUCUCCCUUCCUCUAAUUUUGAUGGGGGAAUUGAUUAAUGGGUUGUUCUUGAUUUUGGUUUGGUGUUGGUUACAUGUUUUAAUUUUUAUCUGGGAUGAGUUCAGGGGGGAGAUAAUGAUGGUGAAGAAGAAUAGGUAGGAGGGAAGAGGAAGUUGAUGAGUCGAGAUUAGGGGAGGAACCAAAAGACACACACAUACAUGGAUUUCUGGUGUAACUAGGGAACCUUCAUCCUUGCUCAAAACUGAUGAAGAUGAAACCUUCAUCCCUAUUCAAAAACCAUUACAGGACGUCAACUAAAUCAAAGAUUAAGGUUUCUUGCUCUAAAACCCUUAGAGAACCUGCAACUAAAUCAAAGGUUUGACAUUUAAAAAUAAACCCAUAUUUCAACGGUUUCAUUGUGUGUGCCCUGAAUUAAAAAGAAAUCUGGAAUUCAUAUGGGUUCUUGAAGAAAUAAACUUGAACGGAAUCAAAAUAGAAGUAUGAAAUAAAACUAAAAACUUGAUUGAAAACAAAAUCAGAGUUGUUCCAUGGGUUUUUGGUUCUGGUUAGAGGGAGAACCAAAAUCGAAAUCGACACCAUAAACAAAAUCAAACCCAAAUAAAGAUCAGUGUGUGUGUCUCUUCCCCAUGGUGUUUGUGAUCAAUGGUGACAAGGGAUGAUUACCUCGGUGCAUGUUUUUGUUGUGGGGUUUUCAGUGGUGCAGCGUCGGUGGUUGAAGAAGGAAGCUUGGGUUCAACAUUCUUGAUGUAUGGAUGAUGGUGGCUAAAAGGAAGAUGAUGAAUGUCGAUGAUCUGAAGUGUGUGUGUUUGCUUGAGAGAGAGAGAGAGAGAGAGAGGGGUCCUCCAUUAUUUUUUAAUUGUUAAAAUAAAUAAAUAAAUAUUUAAUUUAAAAAAAAUGAAAGAAAAUGAAAAAUAAAUACCCCAAGGGUAUUAUAGUCAUUUCAAUUUUCGGAGGGAUUAUUUUCACAUACAAACUACCUCAAAAGGACCACCAAUCCAAAAAAAAUCAUUGUUUGGAUUAAAACCCCAAAAAAUGCAUACCACAAGGACCAUUUUUGCAAUUUUGUCUAAUUUUUUUAAAUUCUUUUUUGACAUUUUAUUCAAAUACAUUUAUGACAAAACUUCAAAAAUGAUCACUGUGGUUUUCAAAAAUAUCAAGUUUAGUCCCUAAUUUCAAUGUGAUUAAUAUUAAAUAUCUGGUCAGUAGUGGAACCUUGUCAUAUCAUCAUCUUGUUAAUUGUUUGGUCAUGUAUGCUAAAAAAUCAAAUUACAAAAAGAUGAUGAAGGUAUCCAAAGAAACAAGGAAGCAGGAUCGAAGAUGGAAAUUUGCAUUUUACUAGCUAAAUGUACAACCUUUAAUAUAAGUUCUCAAGCAAUUAUUGCAUCAUGGAGUGCAGUUGAUGCAGAUGAAAGGAAGAACAAUAUGUUGCUUUCUUCGGUGCUACGGGAUUGAAUUCAAAACCCGAUCAUAUAACCUACAAUCCUACACUAUAUAUGAACAUGAAAUUACUAAGGAAAGCUUUUGUUACACAGGACAAAACUGAUGACAGGACAACAUCUCUAAGACUAUUCUCAAAGAGAAUUGGGAGUGGGGAGGGGAAGAAAAUUGAUCCAGGUCUUAUGCAUUCCAAAUGCAGGUACAUUCCUACAUAAUAAAGGAGGCUUAAAAGAGAAGAAAAGUGAUACCGAAGAUGCAUAUGAGGAACUAAUCUUGGAAGAACUACAGAAAACACAUACUUAACUACUUGAAAAAUAGCCAAGGUAUGCAACUUAAAUGAAUCCCAGACCAUAAAUUUCCCAAGCCACCAUUUGCAAAAGUGUGCUUCACCUGCAAAAAGAAAAAAAAAAUGAAAAAUGAAAACGACAUCGUUUUGGACGUUGUUGACUGUGGAAAGUGAAAUCAUCUGUGAUUUAAAAAAAAUGUAUUAUCAUGUCAUGUUGACUGCGAAAUUCAAAGACGAUACUGUGAAAAUCAUAACCUAUGGUAUGAAAAUUUGCACAUUGUAGAGGAUGUUAUCUUAUAAGAGAUUGCUUUGUAAAAAAGAGUUAUCAGAACCAAUUGUCUGCAUUUUUUAGCACAAUUUUCACUAUAUUCUUUCUUCUGAUUUCCUUAGCAAUUUUCCACCUUACCCUAUUGCUCUUGUCGAGAUAACAUGAGUUCAAACAUUGUACAUGACUAAUUGUUAUUUUUGUUGGUGGUCGAUGGCAGUUAGAAACAACAUGUUUAUACAAUGCAACAAAUCAAUAUGUUGUUGGUGGGUACUGAUCUAGCAGCAGAAGAGGGACCGGUAGUAAAAGAUGGAAAAAGUUUUGCUAAGAACAGAUACAUAGAAGAGGUAGCAACAAUCAAAUAGGUAUCUGUAUCUCUCUAAAUGAUUCUCACGAUGUUGGUGGAUAUGUUGCGUUCCAAUAACAACUCAAUUCACAAGUAGUUUCUGAAACCCAAUACACGUAUCGACAAAUUCAAUAUGUCGAUCCCAAAAGAUAUUCUGUACCAUAUCAAACACUAAUACCACCAUAUCAAACGUCGGUAACACCAUUUGAAACGCCGAUUGUAUAAUAUCAAAUGCCAAUUAUACAAUACAACCUAUUUUUCCAUUCUAAAAAGUGGGCCGAAAGGAGAGGAAAGUGGUAUUGAAGAUGCAUAUAUAUAUAUAUAUAUAUANCAAGACCAGCUAAGAGUAAACGUAAAUAAGAAUAAAAGGCAAAUACAAGUAGAAAGAAGUAUAUUGAAUCAAAUUGUAUCUGAAUUGAAAGCAACAAAAAGGUGUAUCAAGAUGUUAAACCCAUGAAAUCUCAAACCCAUUGAAAAUCUUUUGUGUAUGCUUGACGGCUUUGAGUUAUGUUAUUAUUUAUUCCAUAUCUUGAUGUGUCUGAGCAUGUUGAUGUUGUAAUUUGAUAACUUUGCAUCAGUUCUGUACUCUUCUCUUUGCGUAACCAUUCUAUUUCAGCUUCCCUUUGGAUUUCACUUGCUGAGCUGAUUUAAGUUCCACCUUCUAAUAUUCUUCAAAUGUUACCUCUUUCUAAACCCCUCAUAAGAAAUGUUCAUGCACAAACUCCCACCUAUUCAAUAAAUCUUGCUAAAUCCCUGAAUCAAAUCACAGAAACCAAUAAAAGAUGAACGUGUAAGAAACUAAACAACACCAAAAACCACAGCAACCAUGCAUGUAGGGUGUUGUUUAUCAUUCAUAAUAACAUAACCAGGACCAAAACUUUCCCCCUUUAGUCAACCGUCUUCGUCCUUUGCAUGAUGAAAGAAAAAAGAAAAUUUACAAAGAGAAGAAUAGAUAAUAAGUGGGUACCUGAUUCUUACUGAACUAUUUGAAAAAUAGACAAAGAUAUGUAACCUAAAUGAGACCUUGUAUUUACAAUUAACUAUUGUUGUUGAUGAUCAAGACAAACCGAGAGUAAAAUCACACAAACCAGUUGUUCUUACUUUAUGUUCAAAAGAGCAGGGACAAAAUAUUAAUCAAUACCUAAACUUUACCCCUUCACCCAAUCAUCUUCUUCCUUAACAUGAAAAACAAGAACAUCUAGAAAAAAAAAAUGGAUAAUGAGUUGAUUACCUGAUUCUUUGUUGGAGCCAUGAAGAUGAAAAUAUCAAUCAAGACCUAACCUUUCCCCCUUCACCNUAUAAAAAAAAAAAAAAAAAAAAAAAAAAAAAAAAAAAAAAAAAAAAAAAGAGGAAAUAGAUAAUGAACCUGAUUCUUAGUUGGAGCCAUGAAGAUGAUAAGUGAUCAAUGCUGCAGCAGAUUGGUGCAAGAGAAGUGACAGGUCAAGAGCACAAUAGCAUACAAAUAUAGUCUAAUCUAAUAACUAGAUAUUAUAUAAAAAUACUGAAUGAUAAAUAUAACAAACAUUUUAAAAUUGAAACCUUUAAACAACAUCCACAUUACAAACAUAGAUCCAAAUAGUAGCAUUAAAACAAAAACUUCAUUCAUAACAUAUAUCCGAGAAUUACUUGCAUUGCAGAGCGCCUAUACAGCUUCUCUUCCUCUCUUGAUCUUGGCAACAACUGUUACCAUGACUGCAACGUAUAUCUUGUCCAUGAUUUUCUCAACAAACAUGAAAAGCCUCCAUCUCCACUGCUUCUUGAACAAGAGAACUCCAAUUACACCCCAAAACCCUGUUGCAAAUCCACUCAUGAUGUCCAGGUAAAACCACCAUACCUUGAUCGACUCCUCAGCUGCUUUAUGUUUCUUCUUGGGCUUUGCUGUUGUUGUUGGGUCUUGAUGAUCUGAGCAAUUGUUUGUCAAUGGAGGUCCACAAAGAUCUCUGUUCCCACCAUAUAUUGAUGGAUCAUCAAUAAGGGUCUGCAAUUGAUGGCCUGUUGGAAUUCUUCCCCACAAGUUGUUGUGUGACAAAUUCAAAUGACUCAAAAAAGUCAAAUCUGCCAUGCUUGGAGGGAUCAUCCCGGUUAACUCAUUGUUUGAGAAAUCUAGAGAAAAUAAUGCCGUCAAGUUUCCAAUGGUGUCUGGAAUAUUCCCACUGAGAUGAUUAUUAGACAAAUUGAGACCCACCAACAUAGAAAGUGCAGUUAUCUCUAUAGGUAUUUUUCCUACAAGUUUAUUGCUUGAAAGGUCCAUGUUAUAAACUAUAUCCAAAAUUCUUGUAUAUUCAAGAUCAACACCUUUCAUAACCUGAAUCACAUUCUCAUUAGAAUCACCCCAGCCAUAAUUGUAAUACCACUUUUCUGCACCAUUAACCAUUGCUUUCAACUCUCUUAGGCAAUGAGGGAUGAUACCCGUUAAGUUGUUGUAUGCAACAUCCAAAAUUUGAAGAUUUGACAUUUUGCAUAAAGAUUCAGGAAUUUCCCCGGUAAAGUUAUUCUUGUGUAAUCUUAAAACAAUCAAACUUGUCAGGUUUUCUCCAAUCCAGUGGGGUAUCUUUCCAAACAAUUGAUUAUCACCCACAUCUAGGACUUUUAAAUCUCUUAAAUUCCCCAACUCUGGAGGAAGUUCACCAAUGAAGUUAUUGUCAUCCAAUUUUAACCAAUUCAAUGAUGAAAGAUUAAGACCUAUAUAGCUUGGAAUGACACCUGAAAGUAAAUUUGAGCUAAAGAUCAUGGCACCCAACCAUUCCAGAUUCUGGAGACACUUGGGAAUUGUCCCUGUUAACCUAUUUCUGGAAAGAUCAAGUAAUUCCAAAUCUGUCCAUCUGCACAAGGACUUCGGAAUUGACUCAUUGAAAAUGUUAUUUGCUAGUAUCAAUACCCAUCGUAUUUCUGGAAGGUUUGUCAAUGGUCCGCUGAGUUUGUUGUGAGAGAGAUCUAAGAAAUCAAUGACAGGCAUCUUCCGCAACCAUCUGGGCAGAGGUCCCGAAAUUGAAGCAUUCGACAACACUAACUCAGAGAGCAAGAACUGAUUCCGUAGCCACUGUGGCAAUCCAUUUGUGAGAUUGCAGGAACUGAGAUCAAGAUGAUACAACUGGAAUGGAGGCAUCCACUUAUGUGAAAAAUUGCAUGUCAGCUUAGAAUUAGAUGAAGCAUUCAAGUACCUCAACAUGGAAAGGUUAGCAAAAUGGGCUUCGGAAACUACUCCUUGUAAGGAAUUGUCUGAGAUAUCUAACUCAUUGAGUUUGGCAAGUUGCCCAAUUGAAACCGGAAUAGUCCCAUUUAACAAAUUUGAAGACAACCGAAUUGCUUGUAAUGAAACAACUCUUCCUAGAGAUGUUGGGAUGGGGCCCGUUAAGUGAUUGGAUUGUAGAUACAAAGAUUCUAAAGCUGCAAGAUUUCCAAAGGAUUCUGGAAUUGAACCAUUCAAUUGGUUAUCAUGUAGAUCUAAUACCUCUAAGAAUCUUAAUCUUCCUAGAGAUUCGGGGAUUGGACCUGUCAAACUGCUCAUUGAUAGAUCUAAGUGUCUUAAAUUGGUUAGUCUUCCAAAUGCUUCUGGAAUCGUACCAUUCAAACACCCACUUAAAUCCAACCGCUCCAAAGCAUAUUGGGAGCAUUCUGAAACGUUUUGCGGUGGGUCAAUCCUUUCUAUUUCAAAAGGAUUUCCAUAUGCAGCCAAUGUUUUCAGGUGACACUGUCUCCAGAUUCCAACAUCCUCAAUAUUCUUAAACUGGUUAACAGAAAGAUCAAGCUCUAGAAGGUUAGCCAUAAUAGGAACCGAAGAAUGCAGCAUGUUUCUUGAGAGAUCAAGGACUCUUAAGGAACUCAUGUUACUGAAAACAGAUGGAAAUAUGCCUUCAAUUGAAUUCCAGCUAAGAUCCAGGUGUUGGAUGUUAGAAAGCAUACAAAGUGACAAAUGCAGCUCUGAUAAAGAAGGGAUCAUGUUUAGCACGUUUGCAAAGUUCCAUGCCAAACUAAGAUUAAAUUUAGAAAGAUCGAGGAAUGCU